rnacentral:rRNA from 1 species
ACGAACGCUGGCGGCGUGCUUAACACAUGCAAGUCGAACGAUGAAGCCUAGCUUGCUAGGUGGAUUAGUGGCGAACGGGUGAGUAAUACGUGAGUAACCUACCUUUAACUCUGGGAUAAGCCUGGGAAACUGGGUCUAAUACCGGAUACGACCAAUCUCCGCAUGGGGUGUUGGUGGAAAGCGUUAUGUAGUGGUUAUAGAUGGGCUCACGGCCUAUCAGCUUGUUGGUGAGGUAACGGCUCACCAAGGCGACGACGGGUAGCCGGCCUGAGAGGGUGACCGGCCACACUGGGACUGAGACACGGCCCAGACUCCUACGGGAGGCAGCAGUGGGGAAUAUUGCACAAUGGGCGCAAGCCUGAUGCAGCGACGCCGCGUGAGGGAUGACGGCCUUCGGGUUGUAAACCUCUGUUAGCAGGGAAGAAGAGAAAUUGACGGUACCUGCAGAGAAAGCGCCGGCUAACUACGUGCCAGCAGCCGCGGUAAUACGUAGGGCGCGAGCGUUGUCCGGAAUUAUUGGGCGUAAAGAGCUUGUAGGCGGUUUGUCGCGUCUGCUGUGAAAGGCCGGGGCUUAACCCCGUGUAUUGCAGUGGGUACGGGCAGACUAGAGUGCAGUAGGGGAGACUGGAAUUCCUGGUGUAGCGGUGGAAUGCGCAGAUAUCAGGAGGAACACCGAUGGCGAAGGCAGGUCUCUGGGCUGUAACUGACGCUGAGAAGCGAAAGCAUGGGGAGCGAACAGGAUUAGAUAACAUGGUAGUCCAGGCCGUAAACGUUGGGCACUAGGUGUGGGGGACAUUCCACGUUUUCCGCGCCGUAGCUAACGCAUUAAGUGCCCCGCCUGGGGAGUACGGCCGCAAGGCUAAAACUCAAAGAAAUUGACGGGGGCCCGCACAAGCGGCGGAGCAUGCGGAUUAAUUCGAUGCAACGCGAAGAACCUUACCAAGGCUUGACAUAUACUGGACCGCAUCAGAGAUGGUGUUUCCCUUCGGGGCUGGUAUACAGGUGGUGCAUGGUUGUCGUCAGCUCGUGUCGUGAGAUGUUGGGUUAAGUCCCGCAACGAGCGCAACCCUUAUUGCCAGUUACUACGCAAGAGGACUCUGGCAGGACUGCCGUUGACAAAACGGAGGAAGGUGGGGAUGACGUCAAAUCAUCAUGCCCCUUAUGUCUUAGGCUUCACGCAUGCUACAAUGGCCGGUACAGAGGGUUGCGAUACUGUGAGGUGGAGCUAAUCCCUAAAAGCCGGUCUCAGUUCGGAUUGGGGUCUGCAACUCGACCCCAUGAAGUCGGAGUCGCUAGUAAUCGCAGAUCAGCAACGCUGCGGUGAAUACGUUCCCGGGCCUUGUACACACCGCCCGUCAAGUCACGAAAGUUGGUAACACCCAAAGCCGGUGGCCUAACCUUUUGGAGGGAGCCGUCUAAAGUGGGAUUGGCGAUUGGGACU